rnacentral:rRNA from 1 species
AUUGAACGCUGGCGGCAUGCCUUACACAUGCAAGUCGAACGGUAACGGGUCCUUCGGGAUGCCGACGAGUGGCGAACGGGUGAGUAAUAUAUCGGAACGUGCCCAGUAGUGGGGGGUAACUGCUCGAAAGAGCAGCUAAUACCGCAUACGACCUGAGGGUGAAAGGGGGGGAUCGCAAGACCUCUCGCUAUUGGAGCGGCCGAUAUCAGAUUAGCUAGUUGGUGGGGUAAAGGCCUACCAAGGCAACGAUCUGUAGUUGGUCUGAGAGGACGACCAGCCACACUGGGACUGAGACACGGCCCAGUCUCCUACGGGAGGCAGCAGUGGGGAAUUUUGGACAAUGGGCGCAAGCCUGAUCCAGCAAUGCCGCGUGCAGGAAGAAGGCCUUCGGGUUGUAAACUGCUUUUGUCAGGGAAGAAAUCUUCUGGGCUAAUACCCCGGGAGGAUGACGGUACCUGAAGAAUAAGCACCGGCUAACUACGUGCCAGCCGCCGCAGUAA